CCACACGCUCUUGCGCGUCCUUGCACGCUCUUGCACUUCCUUGCACGCUUGUGCACCUCCUCACACACUCUCACAUGUCUUUGCACAUCCUUGCAUGCCCUUGCACGCUCUUGCAUGUCCUUGCACGCUCUUGCACCUCCUUGCAUGUCCUCUCAUGUCCUUGCAUGCUUUUGCACGCUCUUGCACCUCCUCACACGUCUUUGCACGCCCUUGCACGCUCUUGCACUUCCUUGCAUGCUUUUGCACGUCUUUGCACACCCUCGCACGCUCUUGCAUGCCCUUGCACGCUCUUGCGCGUCUUUGCACGCUUUUGCAUGUCGUUGCAUGCUCUCAGACGCCCUCGCGCACUCUUGCACAUCUUUGCACGUCCUCGCACGCUCUUGCACACCCUUGCACACUUUUGCACAUCUUUGCAUGCUCUCACACGCCCUUGCACGUCCUUGAAUGCUCUUGCACCUCCUCACACGCUCUUGCACAUCUUUGCACAUCCUUGCAUGCUCUUGCAUGCUUUUGCACAUCUUUGCACGCUCUCACAUUUCCUUGUACACUCUCGCACCUCCUUGCACCUCCUUGCACACUCUUGCACAUCCUCGCAUGCUUUUGCACAUCUUUGCAUGCUCUCGCACCUCCUCACACGUCCUCGCACGUCCUUGCACACUCUUGCACAUACUUGCAUGUCCUUGCACGCUCUUCCAUGCUCUCACACACCCUCGCACGCUCUUGCACCUCCUCGCACUCUCACAUGCUCUCGCACGUCCUCGCACGCUCUUGCACAUCCUCGCACGCUCUUGCACAUCCUUGCACACUCUCACACACUCUUGCACGUCCUUGCAUGCUCUCGCCCAACCCUGCAUGUCCUUGCACACUCUUGCAUGUCCUUGCACGCUCUUGCACGUCUUUGCACACUCUCACAUGCUCUUCCACGUCCUCACACACUCUUGCACGUCCUCGCAUGCUUUUGCACGUCUUUGCACGCUCUCACAUGCUCUCGCACCUCCUUGCACACUCUCACACACUCUUGCACCUCCUCGCAUGCUCUUGCACCUCCUCACACGCUCUUGCAUGUCCUUGCACACUCUUGAAUGCUCUUGCACACCCUUGCCCCUCCUCGCACGUCCUCGCAUGUC
rnacentral:lncRNA from 1 species